UAGGACGUCUUAUUAAGGUUUAAGACCCGCUCUCUCCUUCCAUCAGCUAGGAGGUUUUCUUAGCUUGAAAACCCGCUCUUUUAUCCAGGUUUGCAUGAGGGCAAUGUAUUGUGCACCAGCUCAGCAAGUUUUUCAGACUUCGCAAAUAUUAUUUGCCAUAUAUGUCAAGAUUAUGAUGUCAUUUUUAUAUAAUUUUAUAAAAAUUUCCACAUUGAAUUUGCACUAAUCCGGUUCAGGCUAGACGGAUUUGCAAAAUAAUUUGCACAGGCCCAUAUGUGUUUAGAUUAUGAUAUCAUCUCAGAUUUAAAUUUUUCUCAAUUUGUAUUUAUUUAGAUCAUUAAAUGUAUUUUACAGGGUGACCCAGACACUGGGUGUCCUAAUAUGAUUUUAUUGAUUUCUGGAUUUAGCCAAAUAAAGCUGUUUUCUAUUAA